rnacentral:miRNA from 1 species
AGAGAAAUAGUCAAAUCUGAAUUUCAGAUAAACAAUACAUUAGUUUUUUGGUAUAAGUUUGUCUCCUGUGAUAUUUGGGACCAACUUAUGCUAAAUAAGUAAUUUGUUGUUUAUCUGAAAUUCAAAUUUAACGUAAUGUCCUGUGUUUU